rnacentral:rRNA from 1 species
UGGAAUUCGCCCUUACGGCUCAGUAACACGUAGUCAACAUGCCCAGGGGACGUGGAUAACCUCGGGAAACUGAGGAUAAACCGCGAUAGGCCAUGAUUUCUGGAAUGGUUCAUGGCUGAAAUCUAUAUGGCCCCUGGAUUGGACUGCGGCCGAUCAGGCUGUUGGUGAGGUAAUGGCCCACCAAACCUGUAACCGGUACGGGCUCUGAGAGGAGGAGCCCGGAGAUGGGCACUGAGACAAGGGCCCAGGCCCUAUGGGGCGCAGCAGGCGCGAAAUCUCUGCAAUAGGCGAAAGCUUGACAGGGUUACUCUGAGUGAUUCCCGCUAAGGGGAUCUUUUGGCACCUUUAAAAAUGGUGCAGAAUAAGGGGUGGGCAAGUCUGGUGUCAGCCGCCGCGGUAAUACCAGCACCCCGAGUGGUCGGGACGAUUAUUGGGCCUAAAGCAUCCGUAGCCGGUACUGCAAGUCUUCCGUUAAAUCCACCUGCUUAACAGUUGGGCUGCGGGGGAUACUACAGCGCUAGGAGGCGGGAGAGGCAAGCGGUACUCAAUGGGUAGGGGUAAAAUCCGCUGAUCCAUUGAAGACCACCAGUGGCGAAGGCGGCUUGCCAGAACGCGCUCGACGGUGAGGGAUGAAAGCUGGGGGAGCAAACCGGAUUAGAUACCCGGGUAGUCCCAGCUGUAAACGAUGCAGACUCGGUGAUGGGCUGGCCUUGUGCCAACCCAGUGCCGCAGGGAAGCCGUUAAGUCUGCCGCCUGGGGAGUACGGUCGCAAGACUGAAACUUAAAGG